GGGCUGGACCUCUCGGGGUUACAGCCUUGCUGAAUUAUUCACCCUUGUCUUUUGCGUACUUCUUGUUUCCUUGGUGGGUUCGCCCACCACUAGGACAAACAUAAACCUUUUGUAAUUGCAAUCAGCGUCAGUAACAAAUUAAUAAUUACAACUUUCAACAACGGAUCUCUUGGUUCUGGCAUCGAUGAAGAACGCAGCGAAAUGCGAUAAGUAGUGUGAAUUGCAGAAUUCAGUGAAUCAUCGAAUCUUUGAACGCACAUUGCGCCCUUUGGUAUUCCAAAGGGCAUGCCUGUUCGAGCGUCAUUUGUACCCUCAAGCUUUGCUUGGUGUUGGGCGUCUUGUCUCUAGCUUUGCUGGAGACUCGCCUUAAAGUAAUUGGCAGCCGGCCUACUGGUUUCGGAGCGCAGCACAAGUCGCACUCUCUAUCAGCAAAGGUCUAGCAUCCAUUAAGCCUUUUUUUCAACUUUUGACCUCGGAUCAGGUAGGGAUACCCGCUGAACUUAAGCAUAUAAA
rnacentral:rRNA from 1 species